rnacentral:rRNA from 1 species
AUUUGCGGAAGUUUUCGGAUGGAAGCGGAUGCGACUUAUUCGGCGGACGGGUGAGUAACGCGUGGGUAACCUGCCUCAUACAGGGGGAUAACAGUUAGAAAUGACUGCUAAUACCGCAUAAGCGCACAGGACCGCAUGGUCUGGUGUGAAAAACUCCGGUGGUAUGAGAUGGACCCGCGUCUGAUUAGCUGGUUGGCGGGGUAACGGCCCACCAAGGCGACGAUCAGUAGCCGACCUGAGAGGGUGGCCGGCCACAUUGGGACUGAGACACGGCCCAAACUCCUACGGGAGGCAGCAGUGGGGAAUAUUGCACAAUGGGGGAAACCCUGAUGCAGCAACGCCGCGUGAGUGAAGAAGUAUUUCGGUAUGUAAAGCUCUAUCAGCAGGGAAGAAAAAAGACGGUACCUGACUAAGAAGCCCCGGCUAACUACGUGCCAGCAGCCGCGGUAAUACGUAGGGGGCAAGCGUUAUCCGGAUUUACUGGGUGUAAAGGGAGCGUAGACGGCAUAGCAAGUCUGAAGUGAAAGCCCGUGGCUCAACCGCGGAACUGCUUUGGAAACUGUUAAGCUGGAGUACUGGAGAGGCAAGCGGAAUUCCUAGUGUAGCGGUGAAAUGCGUAGAUAUUAGGAGGAACACCAGUGGCGAAGGCGGCUUGCUGGACAGAGACUG